rnacentral:lncRNA from 1 species
ACGAGCCCAGACAUGCAGCCAGCUGCCUGCUUACGCUGAAACCCUGGCCCUGCCACUGACCAGCCCUCUGACCUUCCGCAGGUCACAUCAGCUCACUGGACCUGGGUAUCCUUAGCUUCCAGAAGGGCAGAGUGUUAGCCCCUCACAGUGCUGUUACAAGAAAUGGAUGCUUUCACCUCGACGAGCGAGCACCGUCUAAAUGGCUGAGCCUGGGGCCGGGCACACAAAGGACAGAACACCAGCUAAGCCCCGCCCAGUCAGGGCCACCUUACUCCCACGGCACUCUGUGCACUUCUGCUAGAAGGGGAAACCAAGGCACCGAGAAGCAAGGUGGUGGGCCUGAUGUCAUACAGCAGGUAAGUAACCCCGGCUGUCUGGUUCUGCAUUCUUGCGCCCUCUGCCCAAGGUCAAGGGUUUGCAAGGAACUCCCAGGCCAUCAGAGUUGGGGGGGGGAGGAGAGCUAUAGCAUCUGCUCUGCAUCUCCAGUCCACUUGCCAGGACAGUGAGGGAGGAGGGCCAGGCUCUCUUCAGCCCAGCCGGGAACCAAAUGACCAGGGUGACCUGAAGAGAGGGCAGGGAGCCAGCUGCACUGGCAGGUGGCAGGGUGGGGCGUCUAGCAGGACUUCUCAGAAUGAAGGGUGAAGGCAGGUGAUGCGUGGGGCCACCCCACCCAGGCCCCAAGGCACAGGCCCCACCUGCUGACAUCAAUAAGGGCAGGGUGGGCCUCUGGAGUGGCUCCAGCCCCGAGGCAGCCCUCAGCCAGACCUCCAUCUUAGGAGCUGGCACCCUGCUUGGAUGGCACCCCCCCCUCAACCCUCUGGGUUGGCUCUGUCUUGCCCUGCCUUUGCUCACACUGUUCCUCUUGCCAGCAGUGCCAUUUUUCCUCCUUGGGUCUGCCUGUCCCAGGGGCACCUCCUCCAGGAAGCCCUCCCAGACCACACAAGCGUAUAGUCAUUCCUGCCUCCCCCAGCACACACCAAAAAUAAAGCUGGGCUUUGACACA